UACGUAGGGGGCUAGCGUUGUCCGGAUUUAUUGGGCGUAAAGAGCGUGUAGGCGGCCAGGUAGGUCCGCUUGUGAAAACUCGAGGCUCAACCUCGAGACGUGGCGGCGAAACCCUCUGGCUAGAGUCCGGAAGAGGAAGUGGAGUACUCGUGGUGUGAGCGGUGAAAUGCGCAGAUAUCGAGGAAGAACACCCGUGGCGAAGG
rnacentral:rRNA from 1 species